rnacentral:rRNA from 1 species
GACGAACGCUGGCGGCGUGCCUAACACAUGCAAGUCGAACGGAGUGUUUAUUUAUAAACACUUAGUGGCGAACGGGUGAGUAACGCGUAGACAACCUACCCUCUAGAUGGGGACAACACCGCGAAAGUGGUGCUAAUACCGAAUGUUGUAAUGUUAUUGCAUAAUGAUAUUACUAAAGGUGGCCUCUAUAUAAAAGCUACCGCUAGAAGAUGGGUCUGCGUCUGAUUAGCUAGUUGGUGAGAUAACAGCUCACCAAGGCAAUGAUCAGUAGCCGGUCUGAGAGGAUGAACGGCCACACUGGGACUGAGACACGGCCCAGACUCCUACGGGAGGCAGCAGUGGGGAAUCUUCCGCAAUGGACGAAAGUCUGACGGAGCAACGCCGCGUGAGUGAAGGAGGUCUUCGGAUCGUAAAGCUCUGUCUUCAAGGACGAAUGUAGAUAUUGUGAAUAAUGAUAUUUAAUGACGGUACUUGAGGAGGAAGCCACGGCUAACUACGUGCCAGCAGCCGCCGUAA